rnacentral:rRNA from 1 species
AUGGCAAGUCGUACGMKKYWWYCCUMCCGAGUGYUUGCACUCAAUUGGAAAGAGGAGUGGCGGACGGGUGAGUAACACGUGGGUAACCUACCCAUCAGAGGGGGAUAACACUUGGAAACAGGUGCUAAUACCGCAUAACAGUUUAUGCCGCAUGGCAUAAGAGUGAAAGGCGCUUUCGGGUGUCGCUGAUGGAUGGACCCGCGGUGCAUUAGCUAGUUGGUGAGGUAACGGCUCACCAAGGCCACGAUGCAUAGCCGACCUGAGAGGGUGAUCGGCCACACUGGGACUGAGACACGGCCCAGACUCCUACGGGAGGCAGCAGUAGGGAAUCUUCGGCAAUGGACGAAAGUCUGACCGAGCAACGCCGCGUGAGUGAAGAAGGUUUUCGGAUCGUAAAACUCUGUUGUUAGAGAAGAACAAGGACGUUAGUAACUGAACGUCCCCUGACGGUAUCUAACCAGAAAGCCACGGCUAACUACGUGCCAGCAGCCGCGGUAAUACGUAGGUGGCAAGCGUUGUCCGGAUUUAUUGGGCGUAAAGCGAGCGCAGGCGGUUUCUUAAGUCUGAUGUGAAAGCCCCCGGCUCAACCGGGGAGGGUCAUUGGAAACUGGGAGACUUGAGUGCAGAAGAGGAGAGUGGAAUUCCAUGUGUAGCGGGUGAAAUGCGUAGAUAUAUGGAGGAACACCAGGUGGCGAAGGCGGCUCUCUGGUCUGUAACUGACGCUGAGGCUCGAAAAGCGUGGGGGAGCARACAGGAUUAGAUACCCUGGUAGUCCACGCCGUAACGAUGAGUGCUAAGUGUUGGGAGGGUUUCCGCCCUUCARUGCKGCAGCAAAACGCWUUAAGCACUCCGCCUGGGGGAGUACGACCGCAAGGUUGAAACUCAAAGGGARUUG